rnacentral:rRNA from 1 species
GCAGGUGCGAAAGCAGGUCAUAGUGAUCCGGUGGUUCUGAAUGGAAGGGCCAUCGCUCAACGGAUAAAAGGUACUCCGGGGAUAACAGGCUGAUACCGCCCAAGAGUUCAUAUCGACGGCGGUGUUUGGCACCUCGAUGUCGGCUCAUCACAUCCUGGGGCUGAAGUAGGUCCCAAGGGUAUGGCUGUUCGCCAUUUAAAGUGGUACGCGAGCUGGGUUUAGAACGUCGUGAGACAGUUCGGUCCCUAUCUGCCGUGGGCGCUGGAGAAUUGAGGGGGGCUGCUCCUAGUACGAGAGGACCGGAGUGGACGCAUCACUGGUGUUCGGGUUGUCAUGCCAAUGGCACUGCCCGGUAGCUAAAUGCGGAAGAGAUAAGUGCUGAAAGCAUCUAAGCACGAAACUUGCCCCGAGAUGAGUUCUCCCUGAGACUU